UAAUUAUUUUUUAUAUAUUAUAUAAAUUUUACAUUUAUACGCAAUUACGCCGUAUUAUAAAAACUUAUAUUUAUUUAUAUUUUUUUUUUAACGUUUGGGCGGUUGCUGGUAAAUAAUUAUAAAUAAUUUAAAAAUGCGUGGUUAUCCAUUUAUUUAAAAUUUGGGUAAAUAAUUUAAAUUUAAAUUUUACGCGAAAUAAUUUAUUAUGCAAUUAAACGGCCGUUUUCGCCGUUUCCGGCCACAAAUUAAUGGGAAAAUGCGCACCGAAUAAUAUUACCAAAAUUUUGGUUUAUAUUUUUUAAUUUGUUCGUUUAAUUUUCCCGUUAAAUUCGUAUAUAUUCGCAAAAUUAAAUAUUAUUUGAAUUUCCUUUUUUUUACCCAAAUUUCGUCUUUUUUUAAGUUUUGGAAUUUAUUUAAUAUUAUUACCGGAUUUAUAUCGUUCCGCAUUUUGUAAAUGGUGCAAUCGUAUUAUUUCCAAACCCAUUUUUCGAAAUUUGUAAUAAUAUUUAAAAAUUUAGGUCCUAAACGGGAUUAUAUAGGGAUAAUAUAAAUUAAACCGCAAAAAUUAUUUUUAAUUAUUAAUAGGUAUUUUAUUCCGUUAUAUUUUUCGGAAUAAUGCAUAUAAUUUUAAAAUAUUUCCCAAAAUAGUCGAUAAAAACGAUUUUCAGGGGUUUGCCGUAAAAUUAUUUUUUUUUGCGUAUAUUUGUGCGCAAUUUUUACAAAUUAUGCGGAUAUCGCUUAUAAUUUUUAUAUUUUUUGCGUUUUAUAUUAACCGGCCCAGCGUUUAUUAUCCCAAAUAACCAAUUUAUAAAUACCAGGUGCGCGUUAUUUUUAUUUUUGGUUUAAAAAUUUGUAAUAUUAAUUGGAAACCUCCUUUUUACCGUCUUAUUAUAUUACGUAUAACCGUUAUAAUAAUAAUUCCCGUUUUAAAAAAUAAAAUUGGAAUUGGAAAAAUAAAAUAUUGUACAAUAUUAAUUUAUAUUUAAAAAACAAAAAAUUUUUUUCAUUUUGCCAACUCUAAAAUUAAUAUAUUUGCGUAAAUUGGCCCGUAUUUAAAAAAAAGAAAAUUAAUUACAAAACCACAAUCCGUAUUUACUAAUUAAUAUUUCGAAUAUAAUAUUAACGUGGAAUUUUGGAAUUAAUGCGAUUUUUUCCAAAAUUAAAUCCCUGCUAUUUAAUAGGUUAUUUAAAACUUUGCGGCCAUAUUUUUGGAUUUGCAGCGUGGAUGCACCGGUUGCGAUUAAAUUAUUAAUAUUUGUUAAAUAAAACGUCCUUUCGUCGAUUAAUAAUAUUAAAUUAAUAACGUAUAUCGCGUUCCCAUUAUGGAUAAUAAUAUUAUCGGUAAAAGGGUGGGUAUUGUUUUUAAUUGCAAAUAUACCGAUUAUUGUUUCCGGUAUUUUAAUUAUAUUUUGUGGUAUAACAGUAUAAUUUAUAAAUUUGUUGGGGAUUUGUUUAAAAAAAAUUUAUAUCCCUAAAUUUCUUUUUACAAAUUAAAAAUCCCCGUUGGAAUCUUUUGUAAAAAAGUUUUUGCGUACCAAAUUUUAUUAAAAUUGUUUAUAAUUUUUGGAUUUAAAUAAUUUUUGUAAAAUUGUAUUUUUUUCGUCGGAAUUUAUAUUAAAUUUCUUCGAUUUUUUUUAGUUUUUUGUAUUUAUUAAAACCCAAUGAAAUUUAUCGCAAUUUUUGGGUUCCCCUCAAUAUUUUUUACCGUCGGUAUUUCUAAAUAAAUAUUAUAAUGUAUUUUUAUAAUAAUUUGCUUUGGUUUAAAUUGUUUUCGUUGGAAUUUCUUUGCGAAUUAU
rnacentral:sRNA from 1 species